UGGGGAAUUUUGGACAAUGGGCGAAAGCCUGAUCCAGCAAUGCCGCGUGUGUGAAGAAGGCCUUCGGGUUGUAAAGCACUUUUGUCCGGAAAGAAAUCCUUGGCUCUAAUACAGUCGGGGGAUGACGGUACCGGAAGAAUAAGCACCGGCUAACUACGUGCCAGCAGCCGCGGUAAUACGUAGGGUGCAAGCGUUAAUCGGAAUUACUGGGCGUAAAGCGUGCGCAGGCGGUUUGCUAAGACCGAUGUGAAAUCCCCGGGCUCAACCUGGGAACUGCAUUGGUGACUGGCAGGCUAGAGUAUGGCAGAGGGGGGUAGAAUUCCACGUGUAGCAGUGAAAUGCGUAGAGAUGUGGAGGAAUACCGAUGGCGAAGGCAGCCCCCUGGGCCAAUACUGACGCUCAUGCACGAAAAGCGUGGGGAGCAAACAGGAUUAGAUACCCUGGUAGUCCACGCCCUAAACGAUGUCAACUAGUUGUUGGGGAUUCAUUUCCUUAGUAACGUAGCUAACGCGUGAAGUUGACCGCCUGGGGAGUACGGUCGCAAGAUUAAAACUCAAAUGAAUUGACGGGGUCAUAGCUGUUUCCU
rnacentral:rRNA from 1 species